CGCAACGGUGAUAACACAUUGAAUGGUCAGUUGAUCACUGAAGUUAAGCAACGUUGCGCGUAGUAAUUAUCCGGAUGGGUGACCAUCUGGGCAGUCGCGUGCUGCUGGCU
rnacentral:rRNA from 1 species